GUCUACAGCCAUACCACCCUGAACACACCCAAUCUCCUCUGAUCUCGGAAGCUAAGCAGGGUAGGGCCUGGUUAGUACUUGGAUGGGAGAAAAAGGCUCAUCUAUUAUUGCUGUCCACA
ensembl:rRNA 5S_rRNA 5S ribosomal RNA